rnacentral:misc_RNA from 1 species
AAAAAAAAAAAAAAAAAAAUUCUAUUUUUUAAAAUAAUAAUGUUUUUAGAUAAUUGGUAAUAAAAAAUAGAAUUUAAAAAAAAAAAUAGAAAACAAAAAAUAAUAAUGGUACCAAAUAUGCUCUUAGAUUGUGGAGUUAUGUUUUUCCUUUUCAUGUUCCCCUAUGCAAUGUGAUUUUGGCUUCCUAUGUACUUGGGGUGCAAAUACUUACAAUUGAAGUUUAGGGCUAUUUCCUGAUGAUAAAUUUUUAAUAAAGCAAUCAUCUUGAUCAGUUGACAUUCCAAUCAAUGUUUGAAAUCCCAGUAUUCCAGGAAUACCAUUACUUCCUUCAAACCCAUUUGUUUUUUCAUUAGCAUAGUAAACCUGUCUCAUAUAGGUGCUAGAGCAAAAUGAGAUUGAAAAAAAUAAUGGUGUUCAGUGAUAGAAAAUCUAGAGAGAGAAAGGAAGAAAAAUGGAGAAGAACAAGGGAGGGGGCAGGCUCUCGAGAGAGCAUGAGUUUUUGGUUGGUGGGGGAUUGGUUUGUGAGAUGGGAUGGCGAACCUGUUUCAUUUUUAUUUUUUCAAAACAACAUGAUUCUUUUUUUGAUUUCCACUAAAUAUAAACAUUUGUAGUUGUUGAGGCUAUAGUGCAACUUUUUCUUGUGAGUGGCAGUUGAAUAUUGUGGCUUCUGUCAUUGUAAAUGCUGCAUAAAAUUCCGUUACAAGAUAAUAAUCAACAGUAUUUCUCUUAUUUUGGUGUUUAAUUUGUAAGAGUUGGAGAUCAUUAAAUCUGAUUUCAUUAUAUUGUUUGAUGAUAUUAGCAUUGCCUUUAUUAGAAACGGAAAAAGACAAGGCGUGUUUGCCAUAAUGAUGGGAGUUUUUUUUUUUGUCAAAAGUCGGUCAUAGUAGUUUCACUGCUGUGUGUGAACAAUUUGCUAUAGAAAUGUAAAUUUCAGAUUCUUUGUGGUUCUUGCUUCAGUUUUCAUAUUGUUGAGCUUCAUCUGUUGGUUUCACGUCUGCUAUAGUAUCUGGGACUUGCUUACCAACUCUCAAUGUGAUUAGGAUCCAUGACCACAAAUCUGUAAUGAGUUUUUUGCUUUCGGACUUUUGUCAAGGUGUGUUUGCCCAAGUGACAAGUUUUCUUUAUGAAAUGCUAGUGUUUUUUCAUUUCUUUGUAGAAUCAUGAAAUAUUUGCUCUAGAAUACAUUUUGAUUCUUGUUGAGCUUUUAUGCAGUUUUGGACUUUGCUAUAGCAGAUACAACCUGGCAUUGACUUUACUGUGAUCAUGAUCUGUGUCAUGACUUGUGGGAUGCACUGUUGUUCUAACUACUGAUAUUAGUACCUUUGAUUUGUCUUUAGGAGCCAGUUGCUUUCCUGGGUGGGAUGUUUGCAGGGUUUCUUAGGCUUGAUUUGGAUGAAGAACCACUUAAAGAAUGGGUCACGAGAACAGUGGAAGCGUCUGGAAUUACAACAGAAGAUAUUGAUGCUGAAGGGUCAAAACUAGAAGAAACCCCACAACAGAUAGAGAUAGAAUAAUUGUUAACUUGCUUUGCCAUGUGAAAUAGAUCUUCGUUGGCAAUAUUUCAGGAUAUUUGGUUUGACUUGUUCAAAGGUGUAAUGUAAUGGGGAUUACCUUGAUUCAUUACAUUGUUUGAAUGCAUAAACAAAUCUUUUAUAAUGUAAAUGCUAAAUUAUUAUUACUUUAUGUAAUGUUUGUAGAUGGGUUCUUUAUAAUGUUAAGAGGGAG